rnacentral:lncRNA from 1 species
CUUUGAAACUCCUUUUCAGGAAAUAAUUUCUUAUUAAUUUCAUCGCACAACAAUCUGAACUCUUCCAUCGGUUUGAAUUCUUUGAUUGGCAUCUAUGUUGAUUUUUAUAGGUGAACCAGGUAGAUAAAAUAAUGCCACGGGAAAUAAAUGCAAUCAAAUACCAAUGAAUAAAGUUCACGUUGAUUAUCACCUAUCACAUACAUGUAGUGUAUACGAUUUCUUACAUGUAUGUAGAUAAUAAUCCAAAGAAAGGCUAUCGUUUUACCACUUAUGUAUUAUAGGAUGGUUAGGUUUCUAUAAUACCAUGUUAGGCCAACAUGAUUGAAAAACUGAC